AUGCGUGGUGCCCGUUGUCAGGAGCCCCUGCCCUGUGUGGCUCUGGAUCUGACACAGGACAGCCUGGAGGAGGAGGCCCCCGGCGCCAACCUGUGGCCCACCACCGUCACCCUCCUCACUCUCUUCCUGCUGAGCCUGUUCUACAGCACAGCUCUCACCAUGACCAGCAUCCGGGGCCCACCUGGCAGCAAAGAGGGACCCCAGGGACCUGAGGCCGGGGAGCCUGGGGCCCUCGACGUCUCAGUGCCAGCCAAGCUUGAGCAGCCCGGGGUCGUCGGCUGCCUGAUCCGGGGCUUCUUCCCCCUGGGCCCUCUGAGUGUGAGCUGGAACGUCAGUGGGGAGAACGUGAACUUCCCGCCCGUCCCGUCUGCCCCCUCGAGCCUCUACACCGCGUGCAGCGUGCUGAGCCUGACACCUGACCAGUGUCCCGCAGGAAACUGUGUGGCCUGCCACGUGGAGCACAACUAUGACGAGGGCCAGGACCUGACUGUGCCCUGCCCCCCAGAGGACCCCUGCACAAACUGCCCCGCCAUCAGCCGUAGCCACUUCACCGCCCACUGCCAGCCCGGCCUGUCCCUGCAGCGGCCAGACCUCGGGGACCUGCUCCUGGACUCGAAGGCCAGCCUCACCUGCACCCUGAGCGGCCUGUUGAACCCCGAGGACGCCGUCUUCACCUGGGAGCCCACAAACGGGAACGAACCCGUCCAGCAGAGUGCCCAGCGUGACCCCUGCGGCUGCUACAGUGUGUCCAGCGUGCUGCCCGGCUGUGCGGAGCCCUGGAGUGCGGGGACAGUCUUCACCUGCACAGUCACCCACCCUGAGAUAGAGGGCGGCUCCCUGACAGCCACCAUCAGCAGAGGCGUCGUCACCCCACCCCAGGUCCACCUGCUGCCACCGCCGACUGAGGAACUGGCCCUCAACGAGCUGGUGACACUGACCUGCCUGGUGCGGGGCUUCAGCCCCAAGGACGUGCUGGUGUCCUGGAGACACCAGGGCCAGGAGGUUUCCCAGGACAGCUACCUGGUGUGGAAGCCCCUGCCCGAGCCCGGCCAGCAACCUACCACCUACGCCGUCACCAGCCUGCUGCGCGUGUCCGGAGAGGACUGGAACCAGGGGGACAGCUUCUCCUGCGUGGUGGGCCAUGAGGGGCUGGCCGAGCACUUCACCCAGAAGACCAUCGACCGCCUGGCGGGUAAACCCACCCACGUCAACGUGUCUGUGGUCGUGGCAGACGUGGAAGGCGUGUGCUACUGA